rnacentral:rRNA from 1 species
CACGUAGGAGCCAAGCGUUAUCCGAAUUCACUGGGCGUAAAGCGCGUGUAGGCGGCCGGAUAAGUUGGAUGUGAAAGCUCCUGGCUCAACUGGGAGAGGACGUUCAAUACUGUCAGGCUAGAGGAUGGCAGAGGGAGGUGGAAUUCCCGGUAUAGUGGUGAAAUGCGUAGAUAUCGGGAGAAACACCAGUGGCGAAGGCGGCCUUCUGGGCCAUUUCUGACGCUCAGACGCGAAAGCUAGAGGAG